rnacentral:rRNA from 2 species
CGAAUGGGGAGAUUCAUCGUCAGCGAUCCAGGCACUCGUGCGGUUCGUGAUGCCGGAGGCUUCGGUCUCAUGGCACAAGUCCGUAUGAUUUUUUUGCCGGGUGUCGUCGGCGUGCACUUCUCCCCUAGUAGGACGUCGCGACCCGUUGGGUGUCGGUCUACGGCCCGGGUGGGCGCCUGUCAUGUGUUACGCUUUACGGCGUCAUGUGGCAGACCCCCGGUUGUCUGACCAGCUGCUCGGCGGUACUCGCACGGUAUCGAGUCGCAAAUAUUCGAACUGCGUCCGGCCCRCCGCAAGCGAGGCCAGUGUUUCCCGGAUGUACGGACCUAGCGCCGUCACCGGGCCUGGC